rnacentral:rRNA from 1 species
CAGGAUAGGUGGGAGGCGUUGAAAGUUUUCUUGCGGGAAGAUUUGAGCCAUUGGUGAGAUACCACUCUAACAAUGCUAGGAUUCUAACCCUAUGUCGUUAUCCGGCUAGGGGACAGUUUCAGGUGGUCAGUUUGACUGGGGCGGCCGCCUCCUAAAAGGUAACGGAGGCGUGCAAAGGUUCCCUCAGGCUGGUUGGAAAUCAGUCGUAGAGUGUAAAGGCAUAGGGGAGCUUGAUUGUGAGACCUACAAGUCGAACAAAGACGAAAGUCGGCCUUAGUGAUCCGGCGGUACCGAGUGGAAGGGCCGUCGCUCAACGGAUAAAAGUUACUCUAGGGAUAACA